rnacentral:rRNA from 1 species
AUUGAACGCUGGCGGCAGGCCUAACACAUGCAAGUCGAGCGGUAGCACAGAGAGCUUGCUCUCGGGUGACGAGCGGCGGACGGGUGAGUAAUGUCUGGGAAACUGCCUGAUGGAGGGGGAUAACUACUGGAAACGGUAGCUAAUACCGCAUAAUGUCGCAAGACCAAAGUGGGGGACCUUCGGGCCUCAUGCCAUCAGAUGUGCCCAGAUGGGAUUAGCUAGUAGGUGGGGUAACGGCUCACCUAGGCGACGAUCCCUAGCUGGUCUGAGAGGAUGACCAGCCACACUGGAACUGAGACACGGUCCAGACUCCUACGGGAGGCAGCAGUGGGGAAUAUUGCACAAUGGGCGCAAGCCUGAUGCAGCCAUGCCGCGUGUGUGAAGAAGGCCUUCGGGUUGUAAAGCACUUUCAGCGGGGAGGAAGGCGAUAAGGUUAAUAACCUUGUCGAUUGACGUUACCCGCAGAAGAAGCACCGGCUAACUCCGUGCCAGCAGCCGCGGUAACAC